AUUUUAUUUACUGCAACUGCGCUUUUAAUAAACUGCAAUGAAUUUAUAUGCGUUUCUCACAAUAAGCAAUUGGUUACUUUAGUAGAUAUCGACUUUCAAUUUGAAUGUAGCAAUGGUUUAGUUUGCAACACAAAUAGUUCAACCCUACCCUGUGAACCGUGUAUCAUAGAAGUUCCACCAGAACCUAUUGACUGUAACGAUGGCAAAAACGUUGUCUGCAGGUACAACAUUGCAACUCCUGACAUAUAUCACAGAUGCAAGCGUGUUUGGAAUUGGUUUGAACCUGAGACUUUUCCGUGCUCUGAUAAACAAGGUGAUUUGAUUUGCAGGAAUACUGAUGUAUGUACUCAGCAGUAAUGCAAGUAAAAAUGUUGUUUUCUUCAAUUUUGUAAUGUAAUUAUAAUUUAAUCAUCAAGUGUUUGUAGC